rnacentral:misc_RNA from 1 species
GAUGAAGAACGUAGCGAAAUGCGAUAAGUAGUGUGAAUUGCAGAAUUCAGUGAAUCAUCGAAUCUUUGAACGCACAUUGCGCCCUUUGGUAUUCCUUAGGGCAGGCCUGUUCGAGCGUCAUUUAAAAAUUCAAGCUCAGCUUGGUGAUGGGUGUCUGUCCCACCUUUGCGUGCGGACUCGCCUCAAAUGCAGUUGGCAGCUUAUCCUCCGGCCCUAAACGCAGCAGAUUUGCGUCGAAGCGCCGUCCGGACGGGCUCUCCAGUAAGCAAACCCCCCAAGAUUGACCUCGGAUCAGGCAGGGAUACCCGCUGAACUUAAGCAUAUCAAUAAGCGGAGGA